rnacentral:misc_RNA from 1 species
UUGAAUAUUCUUGAUGAGUUGUAGCUGGCUCUCCGGGGCAUGUGCACGCUUGUCUUGACUCUAUUCAUCCACCUGUGCACCUUUUGUAGUCUUGGGGGUUGAAAGCGGUCGACUAUCGGAUGGCUAUGGCUACUCCGGAUGUGAGAAUUGCUGAGCGCAUAGACGCAUACAGCUCUUGUCAAAUGACUUGCAUACCCUUGAGUACUAUGUAUUCAUAUACCACGUCGUAUGUUGUAGAAUGUGAUCAAUGGGUCUAUGUACCUAUAAUAAUCAUAUA